CCGGGGCUCUUGUGCAGAGUGCACGGUGAAGGCUGCGAGGGUCUCACUCUGUUACCCAGGCUGGAGUGGUGCAAUGGCACAAUCUCAGCUCACUGCAACCCCUGCCACUGCAACCCUUGCCUCCAGGUUCAAGUGCUUCUCUUGCCUCAGCCUUCCAAGUAGCUGGGAUUACAGGCACCUGCCACCACACCUGGCUGAUUUUUGUAUUUUUAACAGAGACGGGGUUUCACCAUGUUGGCCAAGCUGGUCUCAAACUCCUGACCUCAAGUGAUCUGCCUGCCUCAGCCUCCCAAAAUGCUGGGAUUACAGGUGUAAGCCACCAUGCCCAGCCAGGUAUGCAUUUCAUAGUGUAUGAAUCAUACCUCAAAAUUUAUAAAAAUAAAAAAGGAUUUUAAAAAAUGAACAGCCCUUUAGGUAUGGGAGGAGGCGAGGAGUAAGAAAGGUGAAUGGACUCUGCAUUACCACUUGCCGAUCGCUAGAUGUUACCAUGUUACAGUGGAAGGAAUGCAAACAAUAAUUUUUCCCAUUUUUUUUUUUGUUAUGUCCACCAUGUAACCGGACACACAGAAUUUUUUUUUUUUUUUUUUUUUUUUUUUGAGACGAAGUCUCACUCUGUCGCCCAGGCUGGAGUGCAGUGGCGCAUCUCGGCUCACUGCAAGCUCCGUCUCCCACGUUCACGCCAUUCUCCUGCCUCAGCCUCCCGAGUAGCUGGGACUACAGGCGUCUGCCACCAUGCAGCUAAUUUUUUGUAUUUUUUUUUUUAGUAGAGAUGGGGUUUCACCGUGUUAGCCAGGAUGGUCACGAUCUCCUGACCUCGUGAUCCGCCUGCCUCGGCCUCCCAAAGUGCUGGGAUUACCGGCAUGAGCCACCAUUUCCGGCAACAGGCAGACUUUUAACACAUUCCUUACCUAAACUUUUAAAAGGGACAAAAGAUAUAUGCCUUUGGUUUGGGAGAUGACGAAACAUAUGCUUUAAUGACUAUUGGGUUGGAAUCUUCUUGAGAGAGGAUCCUUCUUAGCCUAGACUAGAGUCUUCAAAAGCCCACAGUGCUUCGUAAAGUUUCAUACGUGGAAGAGAGAAGGAUGUUCCACUGGAAAAGCAGAAUUGCAGCUGAGCUGUCCUGAAAUGCCCAGCACUCUGUGGAGACGCGGAGGAGGUUUCCUGGGACAAAGUGCUGAACCAGGGUGAAAAUGGACUGAUACAGUAGGUGACAUGUGUCCAGCCUGCUUGGUUCCCAACUUUGCUGGAUCCAUUCUAUCUGUGGACGGAGCCACUAUCUCUGAAAGGAGAGAUCUCAUCCGCUGUCCACUGGGGAAUGGCCUUGCCCUAUGGCCCCUACCAAACAAAAACGUAGCAGAACACAGCAAAACAGCAGAGUCGGAAUGUGAAGUGCUGAUAGAGUUCCCUAACGCUGACUGUCUGCUCUGCAUUUCUGGAGAUUGUAUGCCUGUCAUCCUGCAUUCCUUGCUACAGCCACAAGCUGUCUCCACCAUCAGAUGUGGCUUACCUGGUUCCUGAGUCAAUUCCAUCCAGAUGGUGAAGCCAAGGCCUGAAGACCUUUCCUGCAAGGUCGCAGAGGAAGAGGCAGAAGAAGGACCAGAACCCAGCUCCCCUGACUCCCUAUCCAGUGCUCUUCUCAUAGAUUACAUUGCUUCAGCAUCCACCUGGCUAUUGCUCCAUCCAGGGGUUACAGGAGUCACUGACUGUUUUGGUUGCUUCUUGGUUGGAGGAUGUUGUGCCUCACCGAUGAGAGCCGGAAGCAAAGGUACCAGUUCUUAGAGGAAGCAUAGGAAUGUGUCCCUUCCUGCUCGGGUCUCUCAACUGAACUCAACCCUUCCUUGAUUGAUUGACAAGCAUGUUAUCUCUCAUAAUCCCUGCCCGGUAAGGGCUGAUGUCCCCAUUUUACAGAUGAGGAUAUUGGAGCUCAGAGAAGUGAAAUGAUUGCUGAAGGUCACACAGCCUGGCUUCAAGCCUCUCGGGCUCCAAAAGGCAUCUUCUGUUCUCUCCGUCAGGAAGCCUCUUUUGGAUGAUUAACUGAGAUUAAAAAUGAAAAGACACAUGAAAGAAAGGUCCUUUUUUUCAACCUGACAAGAACUAAGAAUGCCUCUGUAUUCCAGGCACCCAGACCAGGGUGGGCUGGAAAGCCAGCCAGAGAGAAAGCAGGAGAAAGAAAGCAUGUUCUAACAGGAAGGUUAAAGCACCCUGGGAUGUGAGUUGGGGUGGAGAAGUGAAGAGGGCAGUUCUCACAGGGGCAGAGCUUGGUUUGGGGUAGGCUAGGAGCUGGGACCAGAAGAGGGACAGGGAAGGGUUUAUUGUGGGUCCACGGCCCAGCUCCACUGCAUGGGCCAUCUGACAGCGCCUGACCGAGCAGAAUGCCAGGGUGUAAAGACCCCACUAAUACCCAGUCAAUGAGAGGAACGCCAGAGGAGCACCCAGAAUGUUCUUGUGCAGAGGCAAAGAGCAGGAGUUUGUGACCACAGCUGGCAGUCCAUGUCAUCCUCACUGAACGACCUCUUAGCAUUCCAGGUGGACAAACAUAUUCACAGGUGCCCAGACAAAUGAGGUCUGCGGGAGAGAGACAGGCUACAUCAGAGGUAGACUAUGUAUUUACAUAAAGUAGGAAUAAGAGUCUCAGAAGCCUUCCAAAGCAGAUGUCUGCUUAAACCUCUUGAGCGGUGCCCUCCUUAGCCUGGAAGGAAGGCCUUGCUCAGGUAGUCUCAACCCGCAUCUGUGGUGUGAUUUAACACCUUCCCCUUCAUUCCACCACACUCUAUCUCAAACUAUCUGUUGUUCUCAAACACACAGAACACUUUCACUCCACCAGCUCUUCCACAUGUGAUUAUCUUUGCAUGUACUUCAUCUUUCUCAUCUACAGCCCCACCUGGCAAACUCCUACUCAGCCUUCAAAACCCUGCCUAAAUGUCACUGAAUCUGGAAGCCUUCUUCAUCUUCUCAGUACACAUUUGUCUGUAUUCCUGAUCCUUUGUCUAUAACUCUGGUAAAUCAUUGAUCCUAGUGCACUGUCAAGAACUUGUCCUAUUUUAUCUGUAGAUUCCCAGAGCCCAAUCAAGAUCCUCACAUGUAGAAAGUAGUAGAUCAAUUAAAUAAAGCAAGCACAGCCAGAAUGGCUGGGAAUUUGAGAGCAUGUGCCCCAGAAUGAUUGUACCUCAGACCUGGAAGAAAAUGUGGAGUUGAUCUAAGUAAACCUGAUGUUUGAACGCCUCAUCUGCAUUCACAGCCUGAGGUAAUAUACAUAAACCACCUAAUCUAGUAACUGGCAGGUAUUAGUCAGUGAAUGGUGGCUGAUAUUUUUGUUUUUGUUGUCAUUUCUUCGGGAAUCAAAAUAGACAUAGAAGAAUUCGCAGAAAGAGCAACAGAUCUGCAGUUGGGGCUGUGGCUCUGCCUCUGAGACUCUCCCUUUAUGACUUUGAACAAGUCAUUUCACCCUCAUGAGGCCUCGAUUUCCUCAUCAAUAGUUUGGGAUACAACUAGGUGUCCUGUAAUUGGUGCCUUUCAGCUCUAAUCAAAACAAAAACAAGACCCAAGCAAACAUCAUCACUGACAGAUCUGAGGGAAUCCAGCUCAGAUCUUCCUGGUGUCAUCUCUGAUCAGAAAUCAGGGAACCAACCCUGACCUUAAUGGCCCUUCUAGGGGUGUGCUCUUCCCCUGGGCAGAGCCAAUCCCCAGGGAAGCAGAAACUCCUACUUGCCAAACUCCUGGCCAGUCACACCCGCUUUGCCAUCCUGGAGAAGGAGGGACUGUUGUGGAGCUUGUGGCAAAAUCCCUCUUCCUCCCCCAAACACAGCUAUGAUUAGCUGUGUCCUCACCACGAAACUGCAGGGGUGUGUGCGGUCACUAUUUACAAUGACCCAGGAGUCUGAUGCCUAAAUGAUACAUUAUCUUCAUGCUCCAGUCUCCCACUGUCUGACUGCCCGGCUCUUCUUUGACGAGAGAUCUCACCGAUUGCGGCCCUUGGCCUUAGGAAGGGUGAUGGGCUGGGCUGGAGGCCUGGGCUGAGCUCUUGGGUGCAGGGGGAGCCUCAGCUUUUCCAGCCCUCAUCCUCAACGGCUGCCUCUGCCAAGGCCCUGGAGCUACAGAAAGCAAGACCAGUGCCUGAGUGCAAUAAAUGCUUUUAUUAGUCCUUUUAUUAAUGACGGUUGGUAUUUGUUGAGAAGCUGGGACAAUAGUUAUUCCAGUAAGAGGAUAUUAAGCUCCCUCAAACAGGCCCUGUAUAUCUAACAGGCUCUGGCCCCCAGCCUCCCCUGACGCAGCUCUGUUACACUGCAGCACACCCCUGGCCUCCCAGCAACUCCAAGAAGGGAGAGGAGGGAUGGGGGAGGUAGGGAUAAUCUGGUGUCAUUAAACACACAGGCCUUUGUGGAGGUUACCGUACACCAACAGCAGGAAGCUUUUUCUUCCUUCUGAGAGCAUAGGGAGCCUAUGUGAUUUUGUUUUUUUUUUGUUUGUUUUGGUUUUUUUGUUUUUUGCUACCCCUGUGCUCCUGGCUAUUUUACCUCCAGAGCUGCUGGUGAUAAGUUGGUAAAGGAGGACCUCCUUAAACCAUUUGUUAAACCAUUUGAGACUGUUCCUAGUACUUGUUUUAAGCUAUUUUACAUGAUUUUUAAUGUAAUAAACACAUUUAUAAUACUAUGUGGUGGCAAUGUUCUGAGUGCUUUUCAAAUACUAAUUUAUUUAAUACUCAUAACGUCUCAAUGAAGUAGGCACUAUACUUAUCCUUAUUUUAUAAAUGAGGAAAUGAGGCCCA
rnacentral:lncRNA from 1 species